AUACGGAGGGGGCUAGCGUUGUUCGGAAUCACUGGGCGUAAAGCGCGCGUAGGCGGAUCAGUCAGUCAGGGGUGAAAUCCCGGGGCUUAACCCCGGAACUGCCUUUGAUACUGCUGGUCUUGAGUUCGAGAGAGGUGAGUGGAAUUCCUAGUGUAGAGGUGAAAUUCGUAGAUAUUAGGAAGAACACCAGUGGCGAAGGCGGCUUACUGGCUCGAUACUGACGCUGAGGCGCGAAAGCGUGGGGAGCAAACAGGAUUAGAAACCCCAGUAGUCC
rnacentral:rRNA from 1 species